CCGCAGCGCUCUUCAUCCGGAUCCACCUCCCGAGAUCCCACGGCCGUUUCUCCUCCUCUCCAUGCGCAAUCAAGGUUCCAUGCUCUGGCGAUCUAUAAGAAGGGGAGAACGAGAGGAGGAGGGGGGUCCUCGGUUGGGGUUGAGGCCAAGAAAUAGAGAGGAGGAGGGGAGGUUCUCGGCUUGGUGAGGGGAAGCUCUGUUCAAAAGAAACAGAGGAGGAGCUCUGUUUUCCGAGAAGAAGGAAGAAAAAAAAUAAUAUUUUAUUUUUUUUAGUAUUCAACCGAGAGGGGUUACUUGUUCCCUUGUUUUCAUUUUUUUUUUCCUUCUUACUUUUGUAAGCAUUUUCCUUUCUAUGCAAGCUAUUAAAUUUUCUUUUAUGCAAUCCAUGUUAUAGGUUUUGUUUAAUUUCUGUUCUUUUAUGCAAUCCAUUUAUUUUUCUUUCAUGCAAUCUAUGUUCCAAGCUUCAAUUUUCUUAAGCACUGUUUUCAUCCAUGCCAAAGUUUUUCUUUGAGUAGUUAAAUAUUUC
rnacentral:lncRNA from 1 species